GGGCGUAGCUCAGUCGGUUAGAGUGCCGGCCUGUCACGCCGGAGGUCGCGGGUUCGAGUCC
rnacentral:tRNA from 1 species